AUGGUGCUCUGCCUGGAGCGCCGCGAUUCAGCGACCUCUGGCAGCAGCGGAGGUAGUCCCAGCCCAAAGCGCACCGCUCGCGAGCAGCGGGAGCCGCCACGGCCGCGCACGGGCGCGCGAGCAGCAGCACCGACCUCUCUUGGGGGCACGAGCAGCUGCCCCGUCCGCGCACAGGCGCACAAGCUGUUGUCUUCUCCAGAGCAUGGAUGCGCCACAUUGGGGGCAAGGGUGGCCCGGGUCAAAGGAGUCGUCCCCAUACGGAGGCGGUGGUGCGGAUCCUGGGUCGGGGCAGCGGCGGGAUUGGGGGCCGGUUGCGGUUCAAAGGAGCCGUCCCCAUCCGGCGGUGGUGGUGCGGAUCCUGGGUCGGGGCGGCGGCGACAGCAACGGGCGCCGGCGGCGGUAGGAUCUGGGUGGCGGCAACUCCUCCCUUUCCAGCGAGAGAAGGACGGGCCGAAGGCCUAG
rnacentral:rRNA from 1 species